GAUGGUGUAGCUCGGUGGUAGAGUGUGUGCUUAGCUUGCACGAGGUCCUGGGUUCAAUCCCCAGUUCCUCCA
rnacentral:tRNA from 1 species